UCUUGUCUGUGAUGAACAAAAGCAUAGUUCAUAUGAAUCACUAGUGAUUAUAAAACUACCUAGUCUUUCGCUCCUAUCUGAUGACUUGU
rnacentral:snoRNA from 1 species